rnacentral:lncRNA from 1 species
ACUUUCGGGGAUGGAGGGGAAGCCCAGGUACUCUCUGUGCUUCCUAACUGGCCGUGGAAGGGGAGGUGGAGACGGGAAGCGGCAGUCGGUUUCACUGCAGCGUCUGGGAUUCCUGCCCCGAGUUCUUCCUCAGAAACCGGCGGCGGCUGCGGACAGGGGCGGCUGGGCUGAGGGGCGGGAAGCCGCUGGCCAGCUUCACCCUCUCUCUGGGGCUCCUGCAGGGCAAGGGGAGCGGAUGUGAAGUUGUCCCUGUAGAUAUAAUUAACAGCAUUGUGGACAAGACCACAAGUUCAGAAGGAGCUUACAAAGGAGAAAUUCAUGCUGCAAAUGGUGACACUUAAGCCAAAAGCAAUAAAAUGCAUUCAUCUGGGACACUGUCGCCCUGGGGUUUAUGGCUUCCACAGGACAAUCCAAGUCUGGGCUUCAGACCUCGUCAUUCUGCCACACUGUGACCCCGAGGCAGGGCGCGCCAUAAACAGACCGGGAGGCUGCUCUGUGUGCCCUCGCUGCGGGCUGGCUGCUCUGGGAAGAACACGCAGCCCUCAACAGGGAAAUGCGAUAACUAUUCUGCUUCUUGGAAUGAUUUGCAGAUUCAUGCAUUCAAACAUUCUUCAGAUGCUGACUGGUGGUAUAUGUCACCACGUUCCCGGUGGGAUGCGACCUGGUGGUGGAAAACAGACAGCUCACUUAAACGCCAGUUCGGCCACUUACUAACCGUGUGACCUUGGGAAACUUACUUAACUUCUCUGAGCCGAAGUUUACUCACAGGUAAACCAGAGCUCCAUUGCAAUAUCCACUCAUUUGAUGUUUGUAGAAAUGAACAGCAUCAUUCCUUCUCUGACACCCAGGUAACUCGAAAACAGCAGGUGUGUAAUAAACGAUCAGAGAGUUUGAGCAGAGAGUGAAGGAUGCCCCGGGUAGAGAAGCCAAGGAGGUGCUGGUGGACGUGGUGUGUACGUCUGUCAGAGAGGCUGGGCCAUUAUACAUACCUGCCUCCUCUUCAGACACCAGCCACAAGUGGGAUCCCCAUGCCACCUGCCCAUCUAACCAACUGGCUACAAAACCAAGGGGGUUCCUGUGACCCACUUAGGUUUGGUAAUUCCCUAGGACAACUCACAGAACUCAGAAACACUAUACUUACGAUUAUCAUUUCAUUGUAAAGGACACACAUCAGGACCAGCCAGAGGAAGAGACACACAGGGUGAGGUCUGGGAGGGUUCUGAACAUGGAGCUUCUGUGCCCUCUCACCAGAGACUCUGGAUGGGUCACCUCCCAGCAUGUUGGUGUGUUCACCAACCAGGAAGCUCCACUGAGCCUCAGUGUGCAGGGUUUUU